rnacentral:rRNA from 1 species
CGCUGGCGGCGUGCUUAACACAUGCAAGUCGAACGGUAAGGCCCUUCGGGGUACACGAGUGGCGAACGGGUGAGUAACACGUGGGCGAUCUGCCCUGCACUUCGGGAUAAGCCUGGGAAACUGGGUCUAAUACCGGAUAGGACCAUGGACUUCACGGUUUGUGGUGGAAAGCUUUUGCGGUGUGGGAUGGGCCCGCGGCCUAUCAGCUUGUUGGUGGGGUAAUGGCCUACCAAGGCGACGACGGGUAGCCGGCCUGAGAGGGUGUCCGGCCACACUGGGACUGAGAUACGGCCCAGACUCCUACGGGAGGCAGCAGUGGGGAAUAUUGCACAAUGGGCGCAAGCCUGAUGCAGCGACGCCGCGUGAGGGAUGACGGCCUUCGGGUUGUAAACCUCUUUCAAUAGGGACGAAGCGCAAGUGACGGUACCUAUAGAAGAAGCACCGGCCAACUACGUG